GAUGAACGCUGGCGGUAUGCUUAACACAUGCAAGUCGAACGGUCACUUCGGUGAUAGUGGCGGACGGGUGAGUAACGCGUGAGAAUCUGUCUUCAGGUCGGGGACAACAGUUAGAAAUGACUGCUAAUACCGGAUGUGCCUUUGGGUGAAAGAUUUAUUGCCUGAAAAAGAGCUCGCGUCAGAUUAGCUAGUAGGUGGUGUAAGAGACUACCUAGGCUCCGAUCUGUAGCUGGUCUGAGAGGACGAUCAGCCACACUGGAACUGAGACACGGUCCAGACUCCUACGGGAGGCAGCAGUGGGGAAUUUUCCGCAAUGGGCGAAGGCCUGACGGAGCAAUACCGCGUGAGGGACGAAGGCUUUUGGGUCGUAAACCUCUUUUCUCAAGGAAGAUGAUGACGGUACUUGAGGAAUAAGCAUCGGCUAACUCUGUG
rnacentral:rRNA from 1 species